GUGGGGAAUAUUGCACAAUGGGGGAAACCCUGAUGCAGCGACGCCGCGUGGAGGAUGACGGCCUUCGGGUUGUAAACUCCUUUUGUCAGGGACAAUGGUGAUGGUACCUGACGAAUAAGCCACGGCUAACUCUGUGCCAGCAGCCGCGGUAAGACAGAGGUGGCGAGCGUUGUUCGGAAUUACUGGGCUUAAAGGGCGCGUAGGCGGUGGUGUAAGUCUGGGGUGGAAUGCUACAGCUCAACUGUAGAGCUGCCUUGGAAACUGCAUUACUUGAGUCGGUGAGGGGAAGGCGGAAUUCCUGGUGUAGCGGUGAAAUGCGUAGAUAUCAGGAGGAAGGUCUGUGGCGAAGGCGGCCUUCUGGCACUUGACUGACGCUGAGGCGCGAAAGCGUGGGGAGCAAACAGGAUUAGAUACCCGUGUAGUCC
rnacentral:rRNA from 1 species